AGUGAACGUUGGCGACGUGGAUUAGGCAUGCAAGUCGAGCGAGAACCGUAGCAAUACGGGGACAGCGGCGAAAGGGACAGUAAUGUGUAGGUACCUACCUCCGGGUUCGGGAUAGCUGCGGGAAACUGCAGGUAAUACCGAAUAACGUCUCCGGACCAAAGGUGUGAUUCCACCUGGAGAGGGGCCUGCAUCCUAUUAGCUUGUUGGCGGGGUAACGGCCCACCAAGGCGACGAUGGGUAGCGGGUGUGAGGGCACGACCCGCGUCAUUGGGACUGAGGCACUGCCCAGACACCUACGGGUGGCUGCCGUCGUGAAUCUUCGGCAAUGGGCGCAAGCCUGACCGAGCGACGCCGCGUGCGGGAUGAAGGCCUUCGGGUUGUAAACCGCUGUCGUAGAGGAGGAAAUGCAGGGGGGUUCUCCCCUCUGUUUGACCUAUUCUAGGAGGAAGUACGGGCUAAGUUCGUGCCAGCCGCCGCCGUAA
rnacentral:rRNA from 1 species